ACGGAGGAUGCAAGCGUUAUCCGGAUUCAUUGGGUUUAAAGGGUGCGCAGGCGGAUUAAUAAGUCAGUGGUGAAAUCCUACGGCUCAACUGUAAAACUGCCAUUGAUACUGUUAGUCUUGAGUACAGUUGAGGUAGGCGGAAUGCCUAGUGUAGCGGUGAAAUGCGUAGAUAUUACGAAGAACACCAGUGGCGAAGGCAGCUUACCGGGCAGUAACUGACGCUCAUGCGCGAAAGCGUGGGGAUCAAACAG
rnacentral:rRNA from 1 species